rnacentral:rRNA from 1 species
UACAGAGGUCUCAAGCGUUGUUCGGAUUCAUUGGGCGUAAAGGGUGCGUAGGCGGCGCGGUAAGUCGGGUGUGAAAUCUCGGAGCUUAACUCCGAAACUGCAUUCGAUACUGCGGUGCUUGAGGACUGGAGAGGAGACUGGAAUUCAUGGUGUAGCAGUGAAAUGCGUAGAGAUCAUGAGGAAGACCAGUGGCGAAGGCGGGUCUCUGGACAGUUCCUGACACUGAGACACGAAGGCCAGGGGGAGCAAACGGGG